UGGUUACCUCAGACAGGUAGGAAUACCCGCUGAACUUAAGC
rnacentral:rRNA from 1 species